UACGGAGGGUGCAAGCGUUAAUCGGAAUUACUGGGCGUAAAGCGUGCGCAGGCGGUUUGUUAAGUCCGCUGUGAAAUCCCCGGGCUCAACCUGGGAACUGCAUCUGUGACUGCAUAGCUAGAGUACGGUAGAGGGGGAUGGAAUUCCGCGUGUAGCAGUGAAAUGCGUAGAUAUGCGGAGGAACACCGAUGGCGAAGGCAAUCCCCUGGACCUGUACUGACGCUCAUGCACGAAAGCGUGGGGAGCAAACAGG
rnacentral:rRNA from 1 species